rnacentral:misc_RNA from 1 species
GAAAUGCGAUAAGUAAUGUGAAUUGCAGAAUUCAGUGAAUCAUCGAAUCUUUGAACACACAUUGCGCCCGCCAGUAUUCUGGCGGGCAUGCCUGUCCGAGCGUCAUUUCAACCAUCAAGCCCCUGGGCUUGUGUUGGGGACCUGCGGCUGCCCGCAGGCCCUGAAAACCAGUGGCGGGCUCGCUGUCACACCGAGCGUAGUAGCAAUCACCUCGCUCAGGGCGUGCUGCGGGUUCCGGCCGUUAAACAGCCUUACAAAACCCAAGGUUGACCUCGGAUCAGGUAGGAAGACCCGCUGAACUUAAGC